rnacentral:rRNA from 1 species
GUGAGGAAUUUUCCGCAAUGGGCGAAAGCCUGACGGAGCAAUUCCGCGUGAAGGAUGAAGGCCUAUGGGUUGUAAACUUCUUUUCUCAGAAAAGAAUUAUGACGGUAUCUGAGGAAUAAGCAUCGGCUAACUCUGUGCCAGCAGCCGCGGUAAGACAGAGGAUGCAAGCGUUAUCCGGAAUGAUUGGGCGUAAAGCGUCUGUAGGUUGUUUAAAAAGUAUUCUGUCAAAGAUUAGGGCUUAACCCUAGAUAGGCAGAAUAAACUUUUAAGCUAGAGUUUGGUAGAGGCAGAGGGAAUUCCCGGUGGAGCGGUGAAAUGCGUAGAUAUCGGGAGGAACACCAAAGGCGAAGGCACUCUGCUGGGCCAAUACUAACACUGAGAGACGAAAGCGAGGGGAGCAAAUGGGAUUAGAUACCCCUGUAGUCC